rnacentral:rRNA from 1 species
GAUGAACGUUAGCGGCAGGCUUAACACAUGCAAGUCGAGGGGUAUAGGUUUUCGGACCUAGAGACCGGCGCACGGGUGCGUAACGCGUAUGCAAUCUACCUUUCACAGAGGGAUAGCCCAGAGAAAUUUGGAUUAAUACCUCAUAGUAUUAUAGAAUGGCAUCAUUUUAUAAUUAAAGUCACAACGGUGAAAGAUGAGCAGGCGUCCUAUUAGAUAGUUGGUAUGGUAACGGCAUCCCAAGGCUACGAUGGGUAGGGGUCCUGAGAGGGAGAUCCCCCACACUGGGACUGAGACACGGACCAGACUCCUACGGGAGGCAGCAGUGAGGAAUAUUGGUCAAUGGGCGCAAGCCUGAACCGUCCAUGCCGCGUGCAGGAUGACGGUCCUAUGGAUUGUAAACUGCUUUUGUACGGGAAGAAACACUCCUACGUGUAGGAGCUUGACGGUACCGUAAGAAUAAGGAUCGGCUAACUCCGUGCCAGCCGCCGCGGUAAGAC